UAGAGUUUGAUCCUGGCUCAGGACGAACGCUGGCGGCGUGCUUAACACAUGCAAGUCGUGCGGAAAGGCCCUUCGGGGUGCUCGAGCGGCGAACGGGUGAGUAACACGUGAGUGACCUGCCCUUGACUUUGGGAUAACCCCGGGAAACCGGGGCUAAUACCGGAUAGGACCUGCUGGUGCAUGCUGGUGGGUGGAAAGCCGUUAGGCGGUUGGGGAUGGGCUCGCGGCCUAUCAGCUUGUUGGUGGGGUGAUGGCCUACCAAGGCGACGACGGGUAGCCGGCCUGAGAGGGCGACCGGCCACACUGGGACUGAGACACGGCCCAGACUCCUACGGGAGGCAGCAGUGGGGAAUUUUGGACAAUGGGGGCAACCCUGAUCCAGCCAUGCCGCGUGAGUGAAGAAGGCCUUCGGGUUGUAAAGCUCUUUCGGCCGGAACGAAAUCGCGCGGGUGAAUAACCCGCGCGGAUGACGGUACCGGAAGAAGAAGCACCGGCUAACUACGUGCCAGCAGCCCCGGUCA
rnacentral:rRNA from 1 species